AGCGGAGGAAAAGAAACCAACCGGGAUUGCCUUAGUAACGGCGAGUGAAGCGGCAAAAGCUCAAAUUUGAAAUCUAGUACCUUCGGUGCUCGAGUUGUAAUUUGUAGAGGGAUACUUUGGGGCCGUUCCUUGUCUAUGUUCCUUGGAACAGGACGUCAUAGAGGGUGAGAAUCCCGUGUGGCGAGGAGUGCGGUUCUAUGUAAAGUGCCUUCGAAGAGUCGAGUUGUUUGGGAAUGCAGCUCUAAGUGGGUGGUAAAUUCCAUCUAAAGCUAAAUAUUGGCGAGAGACCGAUAGCGAACAAGUACAGUGAUGGAAAGAUGAAAAGAACUUUGAAAAGAGAGUGAAAAAGUACGUGAAAUUGUUGAAAGGGAAGGGCAUUUGAUCAGACAUGGUGUUUUGCGCCCUCUGCUCCUUGUGGGUGGGGGACUCUCGCAGCUCACUGGGCCAACAUCAGUUUUGGUGGUCGGACAAAUCCGUAGGAAUGUAGCUUACCUCGGUAAGUGUUAUAGCCUGCGGGAAUACGGCCAGCCGGGACUGAGGACUGCGACUUUUGUCAAGGAUGUUGGCAUAAUGG
rnacentral:rRNA from 1 species